rnacentral:rRNA from 1 species
CCUACGGGAGGCAGCAGUGGGGGAUAUUGCACAAUGGGGGAAACCCUGAUGCAGCGACGCCGCGUGUGGGAAGACGGUCCUCUGGAUUGUAAACCACUGUCGCCAGGGAGGAAGAUGACGGUACCGAGGGAGGAAGCUCAGGCCAACUACGUGCCAGCACCCGCGGUACUACGUAGGCAGCGAGCGUUGUCCGGAAUUACGGGGGGUAAAGGGGGCGUAGGCGGGCCUGCAAGUGCGGGGUCAAAUGUUCGGGCUCAACCGGGAGCCGCAGUCAAAACUGCAGGUCUUGAGUGAAGGAGAGGCAGGCGGAAUGCCUGGUGUAGCGGUGAAAUGCGUAGAUAUUAGGAGGAACACCAGUGGCGAAGGCGGCCUACUGGGCUUUUACUGACGCUGAGGCUCGAAAGUGUGGGGAGCGAACAGGAUUAGAUACCCGUGUAGUC